UACGGGGGGGGCAAGCGUUGUUCGGAAUUAUUGGGCGUAAAGGGCGCGUAGGCGGUUUGACAAGUCUGAUGUGAAAUCUAUGGGCUCAACCCAUAGCCUGCAUUAGAAACUGUCGGGCUUGAGUAUGGGAGAGGUGAGUGGAAUUUCCGGUGUAGCGGUGAAAUGCGUAGAUAUCGGAAGGAACACCUGUGGCGAAAGCGGCUCACUGGACCAUAACUGACGCUGAGGCGCGAAAGCUAGGGGAGCAAACAGG
rnacentral:rRNA from 1 species